CUAUGUUUUUUUAAUUCAAUCUUCCUUUUCUGAGGAACCAGAGACUUUUUUAAUGCAUACCGUCGAUGCAACCGAGCUUGAGCAAGAUUGAAACAGUUGAAGCUUGAAAACGUCCCCGUCGUGCCCUGCUCGUCGGUUCUGCGAUCGCGUCACGACGUAGAUUGGUUGUCGCCCGAUGGUGGGGCCCCGUGGGAACCUGUAUGCCCACAGUGGGGGGUUCCGGAUGACAGAACGGAUCGCAGAUGGCGUUGGAACGUUUCUCGCCGAGAAAGAUGCGAGUCGCUCCUGAUCGGGGGAGACUGAUCCUCGACGUUCCACCACCGCUACGGGAUGCCGUAACUAUCCUCGCCUUUUCUCGUCCUCUUCUCGUCUUUUUUUCUCAGACAAAAAUAGCCAUCGGGUCAGACCGCUGAAUACGCCUUCAAGUUGCCAUUUAAACUUUUCACCGUUAAAUUUCCAUCACUUCUUUUAACUGCGAAUCACGCUAAUCUUCACGUCAACUUUUGUUAUCUAUAUAUUGUUAUCUAUGCAAGAAUUUUACAAGUUGAUUCUCUCGACAUUUUUUUUUUCACUUUGAGAUUGAAGGGUUACGAAAGCGAAGAAAUAAUGAGCGAAAAAGUCUUGAGAGGGUCGAGAAGUUAUCGGGUUGGUACAAUUGAUAACCUUUAAAUGUAAUCAAUUAUCAGAGGGUAUGCCGAUUAGAUAAAUCGCUUGUGAGAAUCAUGAAUAGAAAGAUAAUAGACGUAAUAGAAAGCGAGAUAGGACAGAAACGAUUCCAGAUCUCGAGGAUAUAAACGAGAUUCUCGAUUUCUGUAACAGUCUCUCUUUACCAAGGUCUCAUAGAACUUUUUCUUCUUUUUGAAAUUUUAUCUUGAAAUCAAAAUUUACACGGGACCAGAUUUGGUUUUUAAAAAAAUAACAUCGUAAACACACGUAUGAAGUCUAAAAUUAACUAUCCUGAAACUAAAAAGGUUUAAACGUACAGAAAACCGGCAAGUAUAAUGGAUCAAACGUGAACUGUUCCGCGAGAAACGUGAGGAACGAUCGUGCAUUUUCUAAAUUAAAGUAAUCAGACAAUACUAGCGCGUGCUUGAGUGAAAAGUUACCGACGCACGAGACAGGAUUUAAUUUACGCGUCCAAAUUAAUCUCGUUGUCUCGCGGUGAAUUUACGCGAUCACGCGGAACAACCGUCAACCAGAUCGAACGUCGGAUCGGUUGGCAUCAUUCUCACGAAGGGCGUAAACAACUCCGUCAAGGAAGGACUAAGCCAACAAGAUUGGAAAAAUCGAGUAAGACCUGAAAACCGGAGCGAGAGAUUAGAGCAAACUGUCGUCUACGCCGAGUAGAAAAUAGACCUGUAGCCGCUCAUCUAGAUGUUCUAAAAACUGGAAGUGGCCGGUAAACAUUGGCGGCUGAAUUACAUCCAGUAAUUCGGGAGGGAAAGGAGACGGAAUUGAGUAACGCGUGGUGUAAAAGUCUAGAUGGGGAGACAGCAUCCUUCACGGAGCCGUAAAAUGAAUUUUAUAAUCAGCAGAUUAAUAUUCAUAGCGUAAUUAACUUUGAACGGAAUAUAAAAACAUAAGGGAAGCUGUCCCACAAAUACCAAAACCAGUAAUUUUGCUCCUAAUUUUGGUCCCUUUCCUCUUCUCGGACACCUGAGCGCUUUUAUUAGAAAAUAUGUAUGUUAUUUCUAUUGCGAGAUACACACACACACACACACACCUCGAGAAUAUACGACUAGUCGAAAAGAUGACGGUCUAACAAUCUCCCUUUUUCCGUUUAAAGGUUAGAUAUUUGUCCGUCGCUUGUAAUGGUGUGAGACCGCUGUCCGUAGUGGAACGGACAGCUGCAUAAAACGGGCUAGACCGGGUCAGGGGGAAAUGAUGUAGCUCUAUAACGUACAUAAGAGGGCGUGAGCACGUGGAAUGAGACGUCGAUUGGGAACUCGUUUCUAUUCGAACGGAAUAAAACUAAGUAAAAACGAGCGUCGAGACGGCAUAAGCCAACCCGCGAAAGAUACGGUAUAGUAUACAAGGAAGUGUACACAGGCAUGAAAAUUACCGCAAAGACGCUGGGUACAAAAGCCCAUUAUGUUCCGACGCAAAAGAGAAACAGAACUUCUCUGUUCUCCUGAUCGCGUCGCAUUUUUCCUUAAAUAUAUCUUUACAGACAUUCAAAUUUUAAUAUCUUUUUCAUAAUUCAAGUAAUUUCUUCGGGGGUACUUUAUCUCCAUUAUAAAUAUUAUGCAUCAAUUUCAACGUGCGAUUUAUUUAUAAUCAAAUGAGCAUUGUAGACACAUGAUUGUCAAGAGUUUAAUUUUGAUCACUGUAAGUAGAUCUUACUUUCUAUGAGCGUUUGUAAAUUGACGGGAACAAAAUUUAUAUUUUAAGCAAUAUAUUCGGCACCAAAUCCAGUGUUUCAGUGUCGCAUGUUCCAAUUUAAGUAUUAAUGACAAGCGUGCAUUGGUUCUAAUCUGGAAGCGUGAAACGCACGUUGGUUAUGUUUCUUCGAUUGCGUAUGCCUGGCCGGAGCUAAGUUUCCAUAAGUAGGUACAAAAAUGCGCAUACAGAAUGCGUAAAAUAACCAGCGAUAUUAAUAAGCAACACAAUCGUUUUCUACGAUCUAGCAUGACCUCCUUUUUAUCGUCGAUUCGACUCAACCGAGCGGGGAAGUUUUGCAAUUGCGGAUUUAAUUAACCCCCUGCCUUCCCGUUAAUGUUCCCUUUUAAAUCAUCUUGUUAUUCGUUAAAUGUUGCCUGGGCAUGUAUCACGCAUGGAACUUUUCCGAAUAGAUUUCAAUCCGAAUUAUUUUCAAUUAUUAUCAAAAUUUUUUUUAGAUUCUAUUUUCUAGAGAAAAUAGAAUAAUUCCAGUCGAAUACUAUUCUGAACAGUUUCAUGAUACGUGCUCUGGUGGAUUGCCUCUUUGAAAUUUACAAGUAAAUUUGAUCCUGAAAUUUAGUCGGUAGUCAAAUUUGCAUUAAAAAAAAUAAGCAAUGCGCAAAUUCUUCCUCAACGCCAAUGCUAAUUUAUAAGCGCCGUACCGUUAGCUUACGUAAUUAUUGAAGCUGCUGGAAAAAGAGCGUAUCAUCUUCAGCUCAAAAACCUGUAUUUGUAGUAAUUUAGAUAACUUUUUACAAUCUACAGAAUUUCAAUGAAACAUCUAUUUUUAUCUGUAAGCAUGUAUGUAUAAGAUCAGAGGUGAAAUCCCUUGUAGAGACGAAAAAAAUGAAGUAUCAAAUGUUUUAUCGAUAAUGCGUGUUUGUUUAAACAUACAAGUAAUUCUGUAUGUAUCUUACUCCCUUAAUAAAUGUCGGAUAACGCGCCUCUUACUUAAAAUUAAGAGCAGUCUCGAGAGAAAAACAAACGCGAGUUAAUUGCACCGAUGUUUGCGGUGAACGUCAAAUAUCUAUUAAAAUUAAUGUAUCAAAUUAUAAAAUAAUCAUAUACUUGUAAACAAAUAUAAAUAUGUGUUCUCAACACAAAUGAUUACACGAAUCACGAACUAAUUUUAUUCUUCAUUGUUACAUUUUAUUCUGCCUCGAAUUAAUGAUCGUCUUAUUAGCAUUGUAUUGUAACGAGGUCUUUGCAUUAAUUGCGUAUUAAAUAUCAGUACCAAUUAAUUCCUCUGUAAUUAUUAAUGAGAAGAAUAAAACGAUUAUCGUUUCGUCCAA
rnacentral:lncRNA from 1 species